rnacentral:tRNA from 2 species
GCCCGCUUGGCACAGCGGUAAUGCGCCUCACUAGUAUUUUCACAAUACUAAUUAGGAAGCUUAUGAGGAGAUGACUGGUUCGACUCCAGUAGUGGGCA